AGCACCUCCAUAAGAGCCCGGUCCGACAGCAGCGCAGACACUCACACUCCCUCAGCAGAAGAUACUAAGAUACAGUUUAGACUACAGUGUCCAGAGCUGCUCUGAUCUUUGUGUGAUUUUACGAAGAUGGUCUUUAAUGGUUUGAGCACAAGAUUUCCCAAAAGGAAUAUAUUUCCACACACCUGAUGCCACGUACAGAAACAUUAUUCUUCUUCAAGGAAUUGCCAUCUAAAUGAUAGUGCCUAAAAUAAGGGCUGAAGGUCACCUUUAAUUUACUGCUGGAAACAGGUGAGAAAAUGCAUUUUUGCCUUUCAAGGAGCUUUCCAUCAUAAACGAGCUCUUGGGCUUUUGUGGAUCAUGGAAUAUGUCACUUAUACUGGGGAGAAAUUUCGACACGGACCGCCAGAAUGGAUAUACAUCAAUACUGAUCUAUAAUUCAAUAAACAAAAUGCCUCAUUCUGUAAUAUCAAAUGUGCGCGUAAAGCGCGCGUCUCCAAAUGCGCACUAUUAAUUUGUUGCGCUCGAGCGCGCUGCGAAAAUGAUAACAUACUGAAACUGGAAUUGUACGAAUAACUGCAUCUGUUAUAUAUAUAUAUUGCUAGGAGAAUUUCAAUAGAAUUUACAAUUAAAGUCUAAUAAACAACUGUCCCAGCUGGGUAAAAAAAAAGGAAA